AUGAACGCUAGCGACAGGCUUAACACAUGCAAGUCGAGGGGCAGCACAGGUAGCAAUACCGGGUGGCGACCGGCGCACGGGUGAGUAACGCGUAUGCAACUUACCUAUCAGAGGGGGAUAACCCGGCGAAAGUCGGACUAAUACCGCAUGAAGCAGGGGUCCCGCAUGGGGAUAUUUGCUAAAGAUUCAUCGCUGAUAGAUAGGCAUGCGUUCCAUUAGGCAGUUGGCGGGGUAACGGCCCACCAAACCGACGAUGGAUAGGGGUUCUGAGAGGAAGGUCCCCCACAUUGGUACUGAGACACGGACCAAACUCCUACGGGAGGCAGCAGUGAGGAAUAUUGGUCAAUGGGCGUAAGCCUGAACCAGCCAAGUCGCGUGAGGGAUGAAGGUUCUAUGGAUCGUAAACCUCUUUUAUAAGGGAAUAAAGUGCGGGACGUGUCCCGUUUUGUAUGUACCUUAUGAAUAAGGAUCGGCUAACUCCGUGCCAGCAGCCGCGGUAAUACGGAGGAUUCGAGCGUUAUCCGGAUUUAUUGGGUUUAAAGGGUGCGUAGGCGGCCUUUUAAGUCAGCGGUGAAAGUCUGUGGCUCAACCAUAGAAUUGCCGUUGAAACUGGGGGGCUUGAGUAUGUUUGAGGCAGGCGGAAUGCGUGGUGUAGCGGUGAAAUGCUUAGAUAUCACGCAGAACCCCGAUUGCGAAGGCAGCCUGCCAAGCCAUGACUGACGCUGAUGCACGAAAGCGUGGGGAUCAAACAGGAUUAGAUACCCUGGUAGUCCACGCAGUAAACGAUGAUCACUAGCUGUUUGCGAUACACUGUAAGCGGCACAGCGAAAGCGUUAAGUGAUCCACCUGGGGAGUACGCCGGCAACGGUGAAACUCAAAGGAAUUGACGGGGGCCCGCACAAGCGGAGGAACAUGUGGUUUAAUUCGAUGAUACGCGAGGAACCUUACCCGGGCUUAAAUUGCACUCGAAUGAUCCGGAAACGGUUCAGCUAGCAAUAGCGAGUGUGAAGGUGCUGCAUGGUUGUCGUCAGCUCGUGCCGUGAGGUGUCGGCUUAAGUGCCAUAACGAGCGCAACCCUUGCCACUAGUUACUAACAGGUAAAGCUGAGGACUCUGGUGGGACUGCCAGCGUAAGCUGCGAGGAAGGCGGGGAUGACGUCAAAUCAGCACGGCCCUUACAUCCGGGGCGACACACGUGUUACAAUGGCGUGGACAAAGGGAUGCCACCUGGCGACAGGGAGCGAAUCCCCAAACCACGUCUCAGUUCGGAUCGGAGUCUGCAACCCGACUCCGUGAAGCUGGAUUCGCUAGUAAUCGCGCAUCAGCCAUGGCGCGGUGAAUACGUUCCCGGGCCUUGUACACACCGCCCGUCAAGCCAUGGGAGCCGGGGGUACCUGAAGUCCGUAACCGCGAGGAUCGGCCUAGGGUAAAACUGGUGACUGGGGCU
rnacentral:rRNA from 1 species